AACGAACGCUGGCGGCAUGCCUAACACAUGCAAGUCGAACGAGAUCUUCGGGUCUUGCUGCGCACGGGUGCGUAACGCGUGGGAAGCUGCCCUUAGGUUCCGAAUCACUUCCCGAAAGGGGUGCUAAUACCGGAUAAUGUCAUCCCACCAAAGAUUUAUCGUCUUUGGAUGGGGCCGUGUUGGAUUAGCUUGUUGGUAUGGUAAAAGCCUACCAAGGCGACGAUCCAUAGCUGGUCUGAGAGGAUGAUCAGCCACACUGGGACUGAGACACGGCCCAGACUCCUACGGGAGGCAGCAGUGGGGAAUAUUGGACAAUGGGCGAAAGCCUGAUCGAGCAAUGCCGCGUGAGUGAUGAAGGCCUUAGGGUUGUAAAGCGCUUUUACCCGGGAUGAUAAUGACAGUACCGGGAGAAUAAGCUCCGGCUAACUCCGUG
rnacentral:rRNA from 1 species